GAGCCGUGGCUGGGCUCAGAGAGAAGAGAUGGGACGAGAGUCUCGGGUAUGAUCGUCCGUGCGCGACCUCCCGGUUGCGCACCGGGAGGUCGAUGCUCAUUGUUCUCGGCCCGCCUUCGCUCUGUGCCCUGGCGGGGUUC